UACAGAGGUCCCAAGCGUUGUUCGGAUUUACUGGGCGUAAAGGGUGCGUAGGUGGCGGGGUAAGUCUGGUGUGAAAGCUCCGAGCUCAACUCGGAAAAGCAUUGGAAACUAUCCCGCUUGAGGGUCGGAGGGGAGACUGGAAUUCUCGGUGUAGCAGUGAAAUGCGUAGAUAUCGAGAGGAACACCAGUGGCGAAGGCGGCCAUCUGGACGACAACUGACGCUGAGAUGCGAAAGCGUGGGGAGCAAACAGG
rnacentral:rRNA from 1 species